GCCCCCACCUUAAGCUCCUACUUUGAUAGAAUCAGAACCUAUUUUGUAUCUCCUAUCACAGGGUGAGGCUGAAACCAACAUCGAGUCUAAAUAACAACAAAAGAACUACAAUAGAGAGAGCAAAGGUAACCAACUAUCAAACCCGAACUGCCGUCCAGUAAGCUUGAUUAAGAACCACACAACGAUCGGGCAUCUGGAAAUGGAAGAGAAUAACGAUAAGCACCGGAAGGUCUAGAUGGAAGAUAAAUUGUAUUAGAAGAAAUACUAUACUAACUCCCUCUGCCACCCUCGAAAAACAUAUCAUGACCAUCAAAGGAUUGAUUGUGUGCAAUAACUGACUAAGAUUAGCCCUACCUUAAGCCCUACUUUGAUAAAAUUAAAACUUAAUUUUUAUCUCAUGUCAUAGGGUGGGGCAGAAAACAAUAUCACGUCUAUGUACAAACAAAAAUUGUUGAAAUGACAAAAGAUAACCAAACAUCAAACCAGAAGUGUCAUCCAGUUAAGAACCACCCCACGAUCAGACAUCUGGAAAUUGAAGAGUAUAUCUAUAAGCACGGGAAACUCUAGGUAGAAGAGAAAAUGUAUAGAAAUAAAAAUACUAUUAUGUACUCCCUUUGCCACCCUCGAUUAACACAAUAUCAAUGACUCAUCAAAGAUCUGUCCGCGUCCAAAAACCAGACCAAGAUAGCCCCCACAUUAAGCUCCUACAGUGAUGGAAUCAAAACCUAUUUUGUAUCUCCUGUCACAGGGUAGGCCCAAAACAAUAUCCAAGUCUAUAUAACAACAAAAGAAUAUAAUAGAGAGAUCAAAUGCAACCAAUUAUGAACCCAGAACUGCCUUCCAGUUAAGCUUGAUUAAGAACCAAACAACGAUCAGGCAUCUGGAAAUCGAAGAGAAUAACAAUAAGCACGGGAAAGUCAAGAUGGAAGAUAAAUUGUAGCAGAAUUAAUACAAUACUAUACUCCCUCUGACACCCUCGAUAAACAUUAUAUCAGUGACAGCAUCAAAAGUUGAUGUCUCCAGUAACUAGACCAAGAUUAGCCCCACCAUAAGCUGCUUCUUUCACAACUUAAUUUUUAACUCCUGUCACAAGGUGAGGCAGAAAACAAUAUCCACGUCUACGUAACAAAUAAAAGAUUGUUGAAACUGACAAAAGAUAACCAAGCAUACCAGAAGUGCCUUCCAGUUAAGAACCACACAACAAUCAGACAUCUGGAAAUUGAAGAGUAUAACUAUUAGCACGGGAAACUCUAGGUAGAAGAGAAAAUGUAGGUAGAAAAAAAAUACUAUUAGUACUCCCUUUACCACCCACUAUUAACACUAUAUCAAUGACAGCAUGAAGGAUUUGUCAGUGUCCAAAAACCAGACCAAGACAGCCCCCACCUUAAGCUCCUACUUGAUAGAAUCAGAACCUAUUUUGUAUCUCCUAUCACAGGGUGAGGCUGAAACCAACAUCCGAGUCUAAAUAACAACAAAAGAACUACAAUAGAGAGAGCAAAGGUAACCAACUAUCAAACCCGAACUGCCGUCCAGUUAAGCUUGAUUAAGAACCACACAACGAUCGGGCAUCUGGAAAUGAAGAGAAUAACGAUAAGCACCGGAAGGUCUAGAUGGAAGAUAAAUUGUAUAGAAGAAAUACUAUACUAUACUCCCUCUGCCACCCUCGAUAAACACACUAUAUAGUGACCACGUCAAAGGAUUGACUUGUGUGCAAUAACUUGACUAAGAUUAGCCCUACCUUAAGCUCCUACUUGAUAAAAUUAAAACUUAAUUUUUAUCUCAUGUCAUAGGGUGGGGCAGAAAACAAUAUCCACGUCUAUGUAGCAAACAAAAUUGUUGAACUGACAAAAGAUAACCAAACAUCAAACAGAAGUGUCUCCAGUUAAGAACCACCCCACGAUCAGACAUCUGGAAAUUGAAGAGUAUAUCUAUAAGCACGGGAAACUCGAGGUAGAAGAGAAAAUGUAGUAGAAUAAAAAUACUAUUAUGUACUCCCUUUGCCACCCUCGAUUAACACAAUAUCAAUGACUACAUCAAAGAUCUGUCGCGUCCAAAAACCAGACCAAGAUAGCCCCCACAUUAAGCUCCUACAGUGAUGGAAUCAAAACCUAUUUUGUAUCUCCUGUCACAGGGUAGGCUCAAAACAAUAUCCAAGUCUAUAUAACAACAAAAGAAAUAUAAUAGAGAGAUCAAAUGCAACCAAUUAUGAACCCAGAACUGCCUUCCAGUUAAGCUUGAUUAAGAACCAAACAACGAUCAGGCAUCUGGAAAUCGAAGAGAAUAACAAUAAGCACGGGAAAGUCAAGAUGGAAGAUAAAUUGUAGCAGAAUUAAUACAAUACUAUACUCCCUCUGACACCCUCGAUAAACAUUAUAUCAGUGACAGCAUCAAAAGUUGAUAGUCUCCAUAACUAGACCAAGAUUAGCCCCACCAUAAGUGCUUCUUUCACAACUUAAUUUUUAACCCCUGUCACAAGGUGAGGCAGAAAACAAUAUCCACGUCUACGUAACAAAUAAAAGAUUGUUGAAACUGACAAAAGAUAACCAAGCAUACCAGAAGUGCCUUCCAGUUAAGAACCACACAACAUCAGACAUCUGGAAAUUGAAGAGUAUAUCUAUAGCACGGGAAAUUCUAGGUAGAAGAGAAAAUGUAGUAGAAAAAAAAUACUAUUAUGUACUCCCUUUCCACCCCGAUUAAACAUAUCAAUGACCAUAAGAUUGUCGGUCCAAAAACCAGACCAAGACAGCCCCCACCUUAAGCUCCUACUUUGAUAGAAUCAGAACCUAUUUUGUAUCUCCUAUCACAGGGUGAGGCUGAAACCAACAUCGAGUCUAAAUAACAACAAAAGAACUACAAUAGAGAAAGCAAAGGUAACCAACUAUCAAACCCGAACUGCCGUCCAGUUAAGCUUGAUUAAGAACCACACAACGAUCGGGCAUCUGGAAAUGGAAGAGAAUAACGAUAAGCACCGGAAGGUCUAGAUGGAAGAUAAAUUGUAUUAGAAGAAAUACUAUCUAUACUCCCUCUGCCACCCUCGAUAAACACACUAUAUCAGUGACCACGUCAAAGGAUUGACUUGUGUGCAAUAACUUGACUAAGAUUAGCCCUACUUAAGCUCCUACUUUGAUAAAAUUAAAACUUAAUUUUUAUCUCAUGUCAUAGGGUGGGGCAGAAAACAAUAUCCACGUCUAUGUACAAACAAAAUUGUUGAAAUGACAAAAGAUAACCAAACAUCAAACCAGAAGUGUCUCCAGUUAAGAACCACCCAGAUCAGACAUACUGGAAAUUGAAGGUAUAUCUAUAAGACACGGAAAUUGGUAGAAGAGAAAAUUAAGUAGAAUAAAAACUAUUAUGUACUCCCUUUGCCACCCUCGAUUAACACAAUAUCAAUGACUCAUCAAAGAUCUGUCCGCGUACCAAAAACCAGACCAAGAUACCCCACAUUAAGCUCCUACAGUGAUGGAAUCAAAACCUAUUUUGUAUCUCCUGUCACAGGGUAGGCCCAAAACAAUAUCCAAGUCUAUAUAACAACAAAAGAUAUAUAAUAGAGAGAUCAAAUGCAACCAAUUAUGAACCCAGAACUGCCUUCCAGUUAAGCUUGAUUAAGAACCAAACAACGAUCAGGCAUCUGGAAAUCGAAGAGAAUAACAAUAAGCACGGGAAAGUCAAGAUGGAAGAUAAAUUAUAGCAGAAUUAAUACAAUACUAUACUCCCUCUGACACCCUCGAUAAACAUUAUAUCAGUGACAGCAUCAAAAGUUGAUAGUCUCCAUAACUAGACCAAGAUUAGCCCCACCAUAAGUGCUUCUUUCAC
rnacentral:lncRNA from 1 species